rnacentral:rRNA from 1 species
UAAGGAAUAUUGGUCAAUGGACGCAAGUCUGAACCAGCCAUGCCGCGUGAAGGAUGAAGGUCCUCUGGAUUGUAAACUUCUUUUAUCUGGGACGAAAACGGGAUUUUUAUCUCAAUUGACGGUACCAGAGGAAUAAGCACCGGCUAACUCCGUGCCAGCAGCCGCGGUAAUACGGAGGGUGCGAGCGUUAUCCGGAUUUACUGGGUUUAAAGGGUGCGUAGGUGGGCUUAUAAGUCAGUGGUGAAAUCUCCGAGCUUAACUUGGAAACUGCCGUUGAUACUAUAGGUCUUGAAUUAUCUGGAGGUAAGCGGAAUAUGUCAUGUAGCGGUGAAAUGCUUAGAUAUGACAUAGAACACCAAUUGCGAAGGCAGCUUACUACAUAUAAAUUGACGCUGAGGCACGAAAGCGUGGGGCUCAAAC